AAGUGCCGGAAUUUUACCCCGGCUUGCCACCCGCAGGCAGCACUGCCCUAAGCUUCUGCUAUAAUCACAAUAAAACUACACGAAUUGAGCGAAUCGCCAUCAUAGCAGCAUAUUUUCUCCUCAUUGAACUGUCAAAACACAACACAACAGUUUUUGGAAAGAGAAACGAUUUUUAUUGGCUUGAUCGAACUCUCGAACUGCAGAGUAGACAGAUAGGACAGGUUAAUCUCGCAUUGCCUUCCACCGCUCCACCGACAGCAGGCUUCAUAGUAAAUACAGGGAAUCGAUCUAAAAGUAAAAACGGUUCCUUGUACCGGGUUUUUUUCUAAACCAACCCAUCAGCUUCGAUAUCCAGAUCUCUAGAAAUAGCGGAAGAGCCAGCAGAAAAAUUUGCUUCCCAGUAGAAAACGAUGCUGGACUACUGGAAUUAGAAGAAUUUUCGAAAUCACAGCAGGGGGAAGAUACGCUGCGUGAGCGACUCCGUAAUGAAUCGUCCAAAACAUUGUACGAUUUUCUGAGAAAUAGGUGAAACUUCUCUUUGGAAGAACAUGUCAUUUCAUCUGGACAGGAAAAUCCGCAUACAACGCACAAUAUGCUAAGGUAGCACGCAGCGCUUCAGAACUGCAUGUUAUAGAACUUUUAAUAGAAGUCGCACAGGAAAAGUUCGCCGUGGAUAAGAAUCGCGCCAAAACAGAGUUCAUCAGGGCUUUACAUAGUAACGAAAGCAUAGCUCUAAGUAGAAAGCGUAAAAAAUGAAUUAUCCACAAUAUGAAAAAAAAAUGAGUGGGUUAUAUCUAUGAUAUAACCGCAAGGUUCACGUGGAACUACCUUAGCUUAGCAAUCAUUCGUUUGUAUUGAUUAAAUUCUUGAUUGAAUGAAACAGUUUCCAAAUUCAAUUGAGUUCAAUAUAUUUGCUCUGUGAGUGAAAAAAAUGAACAAAUGCCGUGUAAAGUCAAUUCAUUUAUUGUGAUUGAUUGUUCUUCGUUACAAGUAAAUUUAACGACGGACCUUUUACGUUUGGUAUGAUGACUAGAACAAAAUAUAUGUACGGAA